rnacentral:rRNA from 1 species
GGAUUCGAUUUAGCCAUGCUAGUCGCACGAGUUCAGACUCGUGGCGAAUAGCUCAGUAACACGUGGCCAAACUACCCUUCGGAACACAAUACCCUCGGGAAACUGAGGCUAAUAGUGUAUACCGCAUCACACCUGGAAUGAGUGAUGCGCCAAACGCUCCGGCGCCGAAGGAUGUGGCUGCGGCCGAUUAGGUAGACGGUGGGGUAACGGCCCACCGUGCCAAUAAUCGGUACGGGUCAUGAGAGUGAGAACCCGGAGACGGAAUCUGAGACAAGAUUCCGGGCCCUACGGGGCGCAGCAGGCGCGAAACCUUUACACUGCACGACAGUGCGAUAAGGGAAUCCCAAGUGCGUAGGCAUAGAGCCUACGCUUUUGUCCACCGUAGGGAGGUGGACGAAUAAGGGCUGGGCAAGACCGGUGCCAGCCGCCGCGGUAAUACCGGCAGCCCGAGUGAUGGCCGAUCUUAUUGGGCCUAAAGCGUCCGUAGCUGGCCGCGCAAGUCUAUCGGAAAAUCCACCCGCUCAACGGGUGGGCGUCCGGUAGAAACUGCGUGGCUUGGGACCGGAAGGCGCGACGGGUACGUCCGGGGUAGGAGUGAAAUCCUGUAAUCCUGGACGGACCGCCGAUGGCGAAAGCACGUCGCGAAGACGGAUCCGACAG